AGUGAACGCUGGCGGUAGGCCUAACACAUGCAAGUCGAACGGCAGCACAGUAAGAGCUUGCUCUUACGGGUGGCGAGUGGCGGACGGGUGAGGAAUACAUCGGAAUCUACUUUUUCGUGGGGGAUAACGUAGGGAAACUUACGCUAAUACCGCAUACGACCUACGGGUGAAAGCAGGGGAUCUUCGGACCUUGCGCGAUUGAAUGAGCCGAUGUCGGAUUAGCUAGUUGGCGGGGUAAAGGCCCACCAAGGCGACGAUCCGUAGCUGGUCUGAGAGGAUGGUCGGCCACACUGGAACUGAGACACGGUCAAGACUCCUACGGGAGGCAGCAGUCGGGAAUAUUGGACAAUGGGCGGAAGCCUGAUCCAGCCAUACCGCGUGGGUGAAGAAGGCCUUCGGGUUGUAAAGCCCUUUUGUUGGGAAAGAAAAGCAGCAGGUUAAGACGCAGCUGUUCUGACGGUACCCAAAGAAUAAGCACCGGCUAACUUCGUG
rnacentral:rRNA from 1 species